rnacentral:rRNA from 1 species
GACGAACGCUGGCGGCGUGCCUAAUACAUGCAAGUUGAGCGAUGAAGAUUGGUGCUUGCCCCAAUUUGAAGAGCAGCGAACGGGUGAGUAACGCGUGGGGAAUCUGCCUUUGAGCGGGGGACAACAUUUGGAAACGAAUGCUAAUACCGCAUAACAACUUUAAACAUAAGUUUUAAGUUUGAAAGAUGCAAUUGCAUCACUCAAAGAUGAUCCCGCGUUGUAUUAGCUAGUUGGUGAGGUAAAGGCUCACCAAGGCGAUGGUACAUAGCCGACCUGAGAGGGUGAUCGGCCACAUUGGGACUGAGACACGGCCCAAACUCCUACGGGAGGCAGCAGUAGGGAAUCUUCGGCAAUGGACGAAAGUCUGACCGAGCAACGCCGCGUGAGUGAAGAAGGUUUUCGGAUCGUAAAACUCUGUUGGUAGAGAAGAACGUUGGUGAGAGUGGAAAGCUCAUCAAGUGACGGUAACUACCCAGAAAGGGACGGCUAACUACGUG